AUGCCUGCAUCCUCUAAAUACUAAAGGGCACUUGCUGACGCCAGCCUGGUUUUCAUCCACACCAUCUCACUGCUUUUCUUUCUCACGCAAAUUUUUCAUCUGCCUGCCUAUCGGCCAGCCGGCCUGCCAGUCUGUUUGUCUAUCGGUCGUCUCCAAAAAUGUCACUGGCUGCCCCUUUCACCUGCGAUACUGGAGAGGCCGGUCAUCAAACUCAGUUGAUUGGGCUCUUGCUAUGCUAUUAACAAUAUCCACACGUUUGCGUAUGUGAGAGAAAUCAAGCAGAAAAUGUAAUCCUGGAUUGGAAAUAGAUAGAGAGCCCCGCUGCAUCGACUACACUUUGGGGCAUACAGUGCACGGUGUAUGGAAGACCCGGGGAGCAUCGCCAAGACCGUCCACUGCAAUAUGGUGCCCUGGAUCUCCUAAAGGCUACCUGAACAUACUGCACCCUCAAUAUUCAGUAAUGUGCCUCAAACGGGAGGACGCAAAGCGAAGUGUUGAAGUGGGGGGGGUGGCCAUCUGUCUGUAGUGAGAUUUGGGAGAGGAGGGAAAAUAAAUUGAGAAAAGGCGCAACAAGAAGCAUAGCAACACCAGGGAAAAUCUAACUGAUGACACUGCUCCAGGUCUAGCUCCUCAUCCGCUUCUGUGGGAAGAGGAAAAGAAGCUGUAAAAAAGGAACGAGACUAGUUUCAGACCAUCUCCCAAAGGAACAGCAAAAAAAAAAAGUAUGAAAGGAAGUUAAAAUCUGAUCAAAACAGGGAUGAACAAUAUGUUGUGAUUGCGAUAUUC